rnacentral:lncRNA from 1 species
CGAAUCCGUGACGGGUUAAAAAAUAUAUCACAUAAUCCAUCCGGUUUCAUAAGCCGCCUCCCGCCGGCGCCCCGAAUCCAUCCCGUCGGCGCCCUGAAUCCAUCCCGUCAACUAAUAUUUUUUAUAAAAUUAUAAUAUUAUUAAUAUUUUAUAAAAUAUAAAUUAAUAAUUUUUAAUAAUAUUAUAUAUAUAAUUAACAACAUCAAUUAUAAAAAUUAAAAAUAUCAAUCACAAUUCGAAACAAAAUUCAAAACUUUCAAAUACAU